AACGCACGAGACCUGCGGACCUGCGGAGGGAUCAUUACAGAGUUGCAAAACUCCAAACCAUUGUGAACUUACCUUUGCCGUUGCUUCGGCGGGCGGCCCGGGUCCCGACCCGGCGCCCCCCGGCCCCGUCAGGGGCGCCCGCCGGAGGUAAACCAAACUCUUGAAUUGUAUGGCCUCUCUGAGUCUUCUGUACUGAAUAAGUCAAAACUUUUAGCAAUGGAUCUCUAGAUCGGAAGAGCA
rnacentral:misc_RNA from 1 species